rnacentral:rRNA from 1 species
AGCGAACGCUGGCGGCAGGCCUAACACAUGCAAGUCGAACGAAGCCUUCGGGCUUAGUGGCGGACGGGUGAGUAACACGUGGGAACGUACCUUUUGGUUCGGAACAACUCAGGAAAACUUGAGCUAAUACCGGAUGAGCCCUUAGGGGGAAAGAUUUAUCGCCGAAAGAGCGGCCCGCGUUAGAUUAGCUAGUUGGUGAGGUAAAGGCUCACCAAGGCAACGAUCUAUAGCUGGUCUGAGAGGAUGAUCAGCCACACUGGGACUGAGAAACGGCCCAGACUCCUACGGGAGGCAGCAGUGGGGAAUCUUGCGCAAUGGGCGAAAGCCUGACGCAGCCAUGCCGCGUGAAUGAUGAAGGUCUUAGGAUUGUAAAAUUCUUUUACCAGGGACGAUAAUGACGGUACCUGGAGAAAAAGCCCCGGCUAACUUCGUGCCAGCCGCCGCAGUAAAAC